CCUACGGGUGGCAGCAGUGAGGAAUAUUGGUCAAUGGGCUUACGCCUGAACCAGCCAAGUCGCGUGAGGGAAGACUGCCCUAUGGGUUGUAAACCUCUUUUGUCAGGGAGCAAGUGGCGCUACGUGUAGCGUUAUCGAGAGUACCUGAAGAAAAAGCAUCGGCGAACUCCGUGCCAGCAGCCGCGGUAAUAAGGAGGAUGCGAGCGUUAUCGGGAUUUAUUGGGUUUAAGGGGUGCGUAGGCGGAAUGCCAAGUCAGCGGUAAAAUCGCGGGGCGAAACCUCGCUCCGCCGUUGAAACUGGCGUUCUUGAGUGGGCGAGAGGUAUGCGGAAUGCGUGGUGUAGCGGUGAAAUACAUAGAUAUCACGAAGAACACCGAUUGCGAAGGCAGCAUACCGGCGCCCAACUGACGCUGAGGCACGAAAGCGUGGGUAUCGAACAGGAUUAGAUACCCCUGUAGUC
rnacentral:rRNA from 1 species